rnacentral:rRNA from 1 species
GAUGAACGCUGGCGGCGUGCCUAAUACAUGCAAGUCGAGCGAACAGAGGAGCUGUUUGCUCUGUCGACGUUAGCGGCGGACGGGUGAGUAACACGUAGACAACCUACCUAUAAGACUGGGAUAACGUGGGGCAACGGAAGCUAACAGCGGAUAAUAUUUCGACCCGUAUGGUUCGAUAGUGAAAGAUUGCGGUGCUAUCACUUAUAGCUGGACCUGAGCUGCAUGAGCUGGUUGGUAAGUUAACAGCUUACCAAGGCAACGAUACGUAGCCGACCUGAGAGGGGGAUGCGCCGCACUGGAACUGAGACACGGUCCAGACUCCUACGGGAGGCAGCAGUAGCGAAUCUUCCGCGCAGGGCGAAAGCCUGACGGAGCAGCGCCGCGUGAAUGAUGAAGGUCUUCGGAUCGUAAAACUCUGUUAUUAUGGAAGAACAAACGUAGAAGUAACUAUGCACGUCUUGACGGUACCUGCACAGAAAGCCACGGCUAACUACGUG